rnacentral:lncRNA from 1 species
GGUUGGGGGUCCCAGAACCAUCCCAAAAGUGACUUUGACCCAUGAGGUCCAACUUGGGGGUCCCAAGAGACAUCCCAAAGGAGCUCAGAGGUUUAUCCGUGGGGUGCAGCACCCUUUGCCGUGGCCUGGGGGCUGUCACGGCCUGGCUGGAGCCCCCUCCUAAACACUGUGAUGGGCAAAAUCCAGCGUCCUGCUCCAGCCGGGGUCUCCCCCCAUCUUCUCACCCCCCCCUCACCAUCACCCCUUUCUCUCCCCCCGCAGUGGUCCCUGUGGCAGCCGCGGUGACGGCGGACGAGACCGAAGCACUUAAAGCCGAGAUCACCAAAGCGGUGAAGCAAGUGCAAGAAGCAGGUGAGAAGGGGAUGGGGAAAAGGAGCGGGGUGGGGGGGUCAGCCUGUUCCUGCUCCCCACCCCAUAAUCUUGAGAGCAGUCCUGAGGAGGACUUGGGGAUGUUGAUGGAUGAGAAGGUCAACAUGAGCUGGAAACCUGCUCUGGCAGCCCAGAAAGCCCCCCACGUCCUGGGCUGCAUCCCCAGCAGCGUGGGCAGCAGGGCGAGGGGGGGGAUUCUGCCCCUCUGCUCUGGGGUGACACCCCCCCUAGUGCUGUCUUCCAGCUCUGGGGCCACCAACAGCAGAAGGACACGGAGCUGUUGGAGCGGGGCCAGAGGAGGCCCUGGAGAUGCUGGGAGGGCUGGAGCCCCUCUGCUGGGAGGGGGGGCUGAGAGAGUUGGGGGGGUUCAGCCUGGAGAAGAGAAGGCUCCGGGGAGACCUUAGGGACUGGAAGGGGCUCUAAAGGGGCUCCAGGAGAGAUGGGGAGGGACUCUGGAUCAGGGAGGGGAGCCCUAGGAGGAGGGGAAAGGGUUUGACACUGAAAGAGGGAAGAUUGAGAUGGGAUCUGGGGAAGAACUUGUUUGCUGUGAGGGUGGUGAGAGCCUGGCCCAGGUUGCCCAGAGAAGCUGUGGCUGCCCCAUCCCUGGAGGGGUUCAAGGGCAGGUUGGAGGGGGCUUGGAGGGACCUGGUGUGGUGGGAGGUGUCCCUGCCCA